GAGAGAGCGGCGCUCCGCUCCGUGUGGGCGGCCGGAGCGGGCGGCUGUAAGCCGGGGAACAAAGAGGAGCGGAGGGGCCCGGAUCUGCUUGGAGGGGAUGUUGGGGGGUUGCCCGCAGGCUGCGGGGAUCGCUCCAUCCGCGCCCUCCCGCCUCGAGACUCCGAAGGACUUUUCCUGCCGCUCCCCGCAGUUACCUGGAUGGGGCGGGGGAUCUGCCGGCUGCUCUCCCUGGUUGUUCUGUAGUGUUGUGACACUUAAAAAAAAAUCUGGUCAGAAGGCAAUGUUAAGUAUCUGUUAGUGGGCUGCCUGUCAACCCUAAGAGCAAGGCAUGUCCCAAAAAUGUAAUUAUCUCAAAAUUUAGCAUUACAGACCACGGACACACAGAGAAAAUGCUGCGCUUAGUGCAUGUCUGUCUCUGUUUAGAGACCAGAAAGGGCAGCUCCUGUGCUUCAGCAGCCCCAGGGGGAGCAGGGCUGCAGGCUGUCCUCAUCAAGAAAUCUAUCUGGGAUCAAGAAGGUGAAAAUAGUGGAAUCCAGAAGUAGUUGGAGAGUUUUUUUUGCUGGGCACAAAUCAAGGCUGUUCAUCUGCUGCAGCUGCAUUUUUUCCUCAGCCUGUUUGGACUUUUAAAGUGUAUCCUCAGCAUUGAGCAUCCUAGACACAAAGCAGUCAAAUACCGAUGGUACCAACGGUACUUCAAGGCUGGAAAGCUGCUGAGCUGAACAUAGCCCUGCAUUCACACCGUGAUACAUUUUUGGGCCCAGCACAGUGCUGCACCAUUGCAUCCUACUGCAGCUCCAUUCCCAUCCCUGUGGGGUUUGUGGGGCUGCAGGGCUGGGGAGCAGCCGGGAGCUGCUGGAACACAUCGCUCUGUGAGGCCUCCGUGCUCCAGGAUCACUGGCGUGGUUGGCACAAGCAGCUCCAGGAGCUCGUAUCCCAGUAGCUGCAAGGCAGUGGAACAGGUAAUAUCACUGAGUCUCAUCCUACUGCCUUAGAGAAAAAGAUGCCUCCCAUCACUCUGACUGGCUCGUGUUCUGUUUCUGUGUUCUGUCUCUUUGGGGAGCUCUGGAGUUGGGCUCUGCACCAGCUGCCGUGCUCACUGGAGACACUGGGGAGCCUUAGGGGAGUGUGUUAAUGUUGCAGAUCUCUGGGCUUUUAUCCAAAGUGGUGAAGCAAAGAGGUUCAAAUACCUGUCCUGCCUAUUCCCGGCUCCCUCCUGCUGUGCUGUUUGCUCAGGUAACUCGGGGCUUUUCUCAGAGCACUCUUACUCAUCCUUCCAUCACCAUAUGGCCUCUGUUGCAAGGAGCAGGGGCUGUUGAGAGAGCAUGGGGCUCUGAGGGGAUGGGAAAAGCUUCCUUCUGGAUGUUUAUUGGUACAGUGACACACUGAGUCUGGGGGAACAUCCAAGCACGCACAUUUCAGUUACUGAAUACUGUUUGUCAGUGUGAGAGCUUCACCUUCGAUACGGGCCAUCCUGUGCUGAGCAGACUCUGGCAUGGCAGGAGGCUCAGUGAAAGCUGUGAAACACCUGCACCACAAGCUGAAGGUUUGGAUUUGUUAUCGGUGGGAGUAAGGCAUGUAGGAGGCCACCAGGAGAUUUUUAACCAUUGGGAGUAACAUAAAAGGAGAUGCUUUUUCAUUUAGUACUCCUCCAAAUGAAAUAGCAUAUGUAAUACAUUCCAAUAUGUCCUAGUACAGUUCAGUACGUUGGAGUUCAUUGGACCUUGCUGUACUAUGGGAAAUGAGACAGAAAUGAGACAGCUCUGCUCAAGUUCCCCAGCUCAUUUCCUAAGUCUUGAAUUGACAAAAAGCUGUGAUGGUGGGGGAGAUACAAAUCACCCCCCAGACAGCACUCACCACCAGCUAAAAUCCCACUUCUCAUGGUCCCACUGCUUCACCGCCAUCUCUUCUACCAUCGGCAGUGGGGAGGAAAAAGGAGCUUUGGUGGGAUGGUGUAUCCUGCCGUGCAGAGCUCUGUGUGAUGCUGUGCUGGGAGCCCCAGGGCUCAGCAGGAGGAAAUGCUGUACAGAAAUCCUCCUUACUGGGAUAAGGGUCUGUUGUUCUGCAUGACAUUUUGGUUACAAGGUAUUUCUAGAUGUUCACAGUUAAUUUCUUACUUAUUUGAAAGAAAAUAAAAAGGUUGUUGGGUA